GACGAACGCUAGCGGCAGGCCUAAUACAUGCAAGUCGAACGGUAAGGUCUCUUCGGAGACUACGAGUGGCGCACGGGUGCGUAACGCGUAUGCAAUCUACCCUCCGGUGGGGAAUAGCCAGUGGAAACGCUGAAUAAUACCCCGUACGAUUCACGAAUCGCAUGGUUUGUUGAAAGAAAGACUUUGGUCGUCGGAGGAUGAGCAUGCGUCCCAUUAGCUAGAUGGCGAGGUAACGGCUCACCAUGGCGAUGAUGGGUAGCUGGUCUGAGAGGAUGAUCAGCCACACGGGCACUGAGACACGGGCCCGACUCCUACGGGAGGCAGCAGUAAGGAAUAUUGGUCAAU
rnacentral:rRNA from 1 species